rnacentral:misc_RNA from 1 species
UUACUAUUUUUAGACUUUUGGAUAUUUUCCGGGUAGUGUCCGCCAACGAAGUGACAAACGUCCAUUCCAGUAGAUCGAUCUACGUCUAGCAUGAAUGGAGUUAUAUUUAAUCAUAUUUAAUGCAACUUACAGAUUAUUGUGUCUUUUGUAAUCCUGCUGGUACAGAGCGCUUGGUCAACACAUCAUUCCAUAAGGGAAUUCAACACAUUACAAGGGCGAAAGGAACGAAAUGAGAGUUGUUCCUCUGGAAAUGAAAGGGUGUUGAAAGCUUGUCAUCCCUGUACCAAGUUAGAUUUGCGGAGGGAGAGGCCUUCCUGUAGAUUGUGGGGUUACAUGGAAGUCAUUGAGUGUGAGGAUAAAAAAGAAAUAUCCAGGAAUUGCGACAUUGAUCCAGACAAACAUGCGACCAGAUUCUGGGUAUUUGAGCUGGUAUGCCUCCUGAUUGGAAUAGCAUCCUACUUUGUGGUCAAGAAGAGACAGAAAAGACUUGACACAUUCCUCAUGGAGAAAAUAAAUAAACAAAUCUCUGAAGGGGUGUAAUCUUUGAUACUUGAUGAAAUCAAUGUGGGGUUAAAUGCGGCUCAUUUUGUGUGCAGGAUGGAAAAUUAAAUGAGAUUAUUAUUUCUUUGAGUCAGAGAAACUGGUUUGUAUGGAGAAUGAGGUCAAGUAAAAUAUGAAGUUAUCGUAAAUAUAUUUAUUAAUUAUACUGCAUUAGUACAUUUCUUUCUGGUCUGUGUGUCUGUAACAGAGAAUUACCAUGACUAGGUGAGGAAGGGAAGUAACUGUGUUCUGAAAAAAACAAAUACCCAUUAAAACUUAACGCUGAUUUGCAUCUGAUAAUUUAAAUGAAUGGAAACAUUCUGCUGGUCAGGGUCAGUUGUGGACAAAUUAACAGGUCAAUUUGUUGGCAGCUGGAUCUGUGGUGCUGAGUACAGCUAAAAAGGAGUUACAGCUGGAUCUGUGGUGCUGAGUACAGCUAAAAAGGAGUUACCAGUGGCAUAGCAUACAUGUUUGCUUGUAUACUUAAGCAUACACUAAAAAUUUUAAGAUUUUUUUUUAUUCAUAUAAUUUUGUUAAUUUCUUUUUAUGAUUAAUAUGGACUGUCCAUAUCAAUGAUAAAAAGGGAAAGAAGUAAAGAAAAAAUCUUCUUGAAAACUUAAGUCUGAUAAGAUAUUGUUGUUAUGUUAUGUCUAUACAGAUUGACAAAUCACGAAGGUUUAUGUAAAUUGAAAAAUAAUUAAUGAAGUACACAAUUUCAUAUCAUUCGUAUGAAAAUUUGGUUUUUACUUGUAAAUAAUCGGUCUAAAAGGAGUUCCCAGAACAUGAGAAAACGCUUCUAGAACGGAAUAAGAUUAGCUAUCCAAGUCCUUGCUUCCAGGACCUAGUAGGUUAUGGUCCCUCCCAUUCCAUACCCUUCCUCGGACGCUCGACCCUCUGUAAGCAUACACUCUGAAAAAUUAUUUGCUACGCCACUGGUUACUGUUGGCUACAGUUACAUAUGCUGUAAACAGAAAUUGUGGUUGUCAAAAAAUAUUGGUAACAAGUUUUUGAUUGUUGGCAGUUUUGUUAUAAUGAAAUAACUAUUUUACUGUGACGAGAAUGCUUUUGACAUUUGUGCAGAAUAAAUGUGUCGAGUGUUAAACUGCCUUGCCAUGAUAUAUGCUAAAGUUAUAUGUAUAUGUGCAUAAAAUAUCUAUCAUGUGAAUAAAAAAUUCUAAAAA